UGCGGACGGCCGUUUCUUUUGUGUGGGGCUGGCUCGGCCUGGGGCUGGCGGCUGCGCUUCCCUCCACCAGCCGUGCGGCGGGUUUGCCAGCGCCUCCCGCCUUAUUUCCAGAGGCUUUCACGUGGCCUGUGGCACACAUUUUUUAAAAAAAAAAUCUUCAUUUUCAGUUUUCUUUCCAUUUUUCAUGUGCAGGGCUUACAAGAUGCAUCAGCUGAUAGUAAAAGAAACAAGACUCGAGUGGACAUAAACAAUAAGAAAAUAUUCUGCCAAGCUACCAGUGAACUCACAAAAUUGGCUAUGCACCUUGAUAACCAAGCUUGGAAAAUAGGCAGAAACUAAAGGAGGUAAAACAGAGUCAAGAUCAUGUCACAAGGAUAAACUACUACUAGCAUAGUUCCCAUUGGACACUUGAUGUUACUCUACCAUAUUCCACCACAAGUGGUCACUCAGUGCUGGAAUGUUUCACUUCUGACACCUUCAGCCAUCUCCUGAGUUUCAUUCCUGUGUGCAUUUCCUCGGAGCUGAGGCUAGACUGUUAAGUCUAUAGCCCAUGUUUAUGUACAUUCUCCUAGGGUGAUCAGAAGGAGUCAAAAUAAAUGUUUAU
rnacentral:lncRNA from 1 species